GUCCCGAAACUUCCAACAAAUUAUAGUCGCUUUAAACUUUAUUUUAAUAACCCAAAACUCGAAACUCAUCCAGUUGUCAGUGUCCACAAUUAAAUCCGAACCUUCCCAACUGUAAUACCAAUUGAAUAGAUAUUCCUCUCAAGUUGGUGUCAUUCUCAUCACUGUAAAGAUGACGAAUUCAGUUCAUGUCAAAUGACCCUCCAUAGGGAUUAGAACAUGAAUAAAAUUGUUGACACACAAAACAGAUGACGUUUGGACAUACGGGUGGACGGACGGACUCUCAGACUCAGCAGUGUUAUGAAUUCACGUUAAUUCCCAGUAAUUUGAGGCGACAUUUAACCAUAUGUGAAGUGAACAACCCAACCAGCUGAGCAAGCAGCAAUGACCCACCGACAGACGACGACUGACCAACCGAGCGACAACGUGCUUCAAAAUGCUGACGCUGAGUGCUGAUGCUUGUUGUUUUUAUUCGUGAUGUGAUGAACAUAUGUCUGAGCUGUGUUUACUGAGAAGGAGAACCGGCUGGCUGGGGGCAUGGCAGCAAGUUUUGAUGAGUCUGCAAUAAUUUCAUUACGCUUAUGAUGGCAAGGACGCCGCCGCCGGCCGCAGCACAUUAAAUACCCGCGUGCGAUAUUGGACAAGCCAGCGGACUGAGAUGGCAAUCGCGGCGUAUCUUAUAAAUUACAAUUCUAUGUUUUAUUUAUACUUUGGUGGUCUCUAAAUGAGGUGUUGCAUCAGGGGAGGGACGGCACUGUGCCUGAAUGGAUUUGAAUUAUGUACAACUUUAAUCACAAUUCAACAUGCAAUUGAGUGAGUGGCAGUGGCAGUGGCAGUGGCGGGGAAGUGAAGUAGUGGAUUGGAUUCGGCUGGAGUGAUGUGAAUGUGAAGUAAAGUGCCCAUGGUAGAGAAAAACCGUGAUAAAGAAGGGAGUUGCGACUGCGAGUGUAAAAUGUUGUUAAAAAAGGGGGGAGGUGUGUAUUUUGUCGUUGGCGUGGUGGUAUAGUGUCAUGGCGGCAUCAACGACAACGACGACCAACGGCGGCGCACGAAGUAGCUGCUGCAGCUCAUGGAAUUGAUCUGGUAAGUGUAAUGCCGAAAGUUUACCUAUACGAAGAUACUUUUAUGGGCGCUGGGUAAUCGCUUUUGGCGGUGCACAAUGCACAUGUCAUGGAAGAGGUUUUGCAUUUAAAUUUUAUAGAUGAAAAUAACUACCUUAGC